UACGUAUGGUGCAAGCGUUAUCCGGAUUUACUGGGUGUAAAGGGUGCGUAGGUGGCAAGGCAAGUCUGAAGUGAAAAUCCGGGGCUCAACCCCGGAACUGCUUUGGAAACUGUUUAGCUAGAGUACAGGAGAGGUAAGUGGAAUUCCUAGUGUAGCGGUGAAAUGCGUAGAUAUUAGGAGGAACACCAGUGGCGAAGGCGACUUACUGGACUGGUACUGACACUGAGGCACGAAAGCGUGGGGAGCAAACAGG
rnacentral:rRNA from 1 species